rnacentral:rRNA from 1 species
UACGAAGGGGGCUAGCGUUGUUCGGAAUCACUGGGCGUAAAGGGCGCGUAGGCGGCUUGAUAAGUCGGGGGUGAAAGCCUGUGGCUCAACCACAGAAUUGCCUUCGAUACUGUCUGGCUUGAGACCGGAAGAGGUAAGUGGAACUGCGAGUGUAGAGGUGAAAUUCGUAGAUAUUCGCAAGAACACCAGUGGCGAAGGCGGCUUACUGGUCCAGUUACUGACGCUGAGGUGCGAAAAGCGUGGGGGAGCAAACAGG